AACGCACAUUGCGCCCGGCAGCACUCUGUCGGGCAUGCCUGUUCGAGCGUCAUUUCAACCCUCAGAACCCCUUCGGGGGAUCUGGCGUUGGGGAUCGGCAGUCCGCCGGCCCCGAAAUAUAGUGGCGGUCCCUCUGUGACCUUCCCUGUGUAGUAGUGAUACCUCGCAGCGGGAUAGCAGUCUGACCACGCCGUUAAACACCCCACUUCUCAAGGUUGACCUCGAAUCAGGUAGGAAUACCCGCUGAACUUAA
rnacentral:misc_RNA from 1 species